rfam:Candidatus Firestonebacteria bacterium RIFOXYC2_FTLL_39_67 rifoxyc2_full_scaffold_451, whole genome shotgun sequence.
AAAAUCCAGCGCAGGCAAAGGGUAGCCACCAGCCUGGAAUCAAACCUUGCAUUUAACGAGGCAACGAGUUAAAUGAAGCCAAGGUAAGAGGGUCAUCGAGUCGUAACGCAAGUAAAGGGAUUGAGCCCCGAAAUAGAGUGUGUCGGAGGUCGAGACGGUUCGAAUCGGAGCAGACAGAAGACCUGUAGCCGAAAAGGAAAAAAAAGAGGCAAGGAUACGGGAACCCGACGGGGUCUGAGACCA